rnacentral:rRNA from 1 species
GGAAGUAAAAGUCGUAACAAGGUUUCCGUAGGUGAACCUGCGGAAGGAUCAUUACCAAUUCAACGGUGUGGUCGCGGCCUCCGGGGGCUCCCCCCGGGCGGUAGAGGUAACACUCUUACGCGCCACAUGUCUGAAUCCUUUUUUUACGAGCACCUUUCGUUCUCCUUCGGUGGGGCAACCUGCCGUUGGAACUUAUCAAAACCUUUUUUUGCAUCUAGCAUUACCUGUUCAGAUACAAACAAUCGUUACAACUUUCAACAAUGGAUCUCUUGGCUCUGGCAUCGAUGAAGAACGCAGCGAAAUGCGAUAAGUAGUGUGAAUUGCAGAAUUCAGUGAAUCAUCGAAUCUUUGAACGCACAUUGCGCCCCUUGGUAUUCCAUGGGGCAUGCCUGUUCGAGCGUCAUCUACACCCUCAAGCUCUGCUUGGUGUUGGGCGUCUGUCCCGCCUCUGCGCGUGGACUCGCCCCAAAUUCAUUGGCAGCGGUCUUUGCCUCCUCUCGCGCAGCACAUUGCGCUUCAGAGGGGUGUGGGCCGCGUCCACGAAGCAACAUUAUCGUCUUUGACCUCGGAUCAGGUAGGGAUACCCGCUGAACUUAAGCAUAUCAAUAAGCGGAGGA